AGCUGGAAGGGGGGUUACUUGCUGGGCUUGCUAUACAUUUCGUCACAUCAGCAAGUUUAACCUGUUACGUAGCUAUAUAAGGCAGACGCCCACUGAGGUGUGGGUGCUUGCUUUGCGAAUGAUUGCCAAGCACCACUUUCUGCGCAGAAAUAAAGAUUAAGUUGGAUCCUUCACCCCUGUGUGUUUAUUGGCACAAGCGCACCGGGCACGAACUCACCAUUGUUUGGGGACAACAAUUUCUGGCGACCCAGAUGGGACCCUAGCUGACUGCCUUGCCCGGUCCACCUCUUCGGCUCCGGCAACAACUGUGGACGGCGCGAGGGCCAGGCACCACCGACCUUAUUCAUCGGAGGUCUGACCGUCUCCUGGUUGCCUGACGGAGUUGUGGAGGGGCACAACGGCGCAACGCUCGAAGGACCAACUUAAUCAGGUGGGCCGAGGGAGGUUUCAAUGGACUGGUAUGUCCAGGAAUGACUUCCACUCCCUCUAGAUACACCAGUCCACAAGUUCCAGAUCGGAGACAAGGUACUGGUCCGGAUGUGGAAAGACGAGCCGCUUCAGCCCAGGUGGAAGGGACCGUAUCCUGUGAUUCUUACUACUCAUGCUGCAAUGAAGGUUCAGGGGGUAAAACCGUGAAUACACUACAUUCGGGUGAAGGCCGCACCAGAAGUACCACCUGCAGGAGAAGUUGCUGAGAGUGUCGCACUGGAAGCCGACACAAACGGACACCGUUGGACAGCAGAGCCAGUAAAAGGACUCAAAUUUCUGUUUAAACGUCAACCAUGUGAAAAAUAGUUCUUUGCGUAGGUAUAAUGUUUCUAGAGUCUAAGGGGUUGGUGCAUCAAAAGUUCGAUAAGAGUCAAAAUGUGUGGGUUCAUUUGGCAAAGGACGUAUUAAAUGUCACUUAUCUUUGUUUGGCAGGUGAAAUAUCGGUUAAUGAUAUUUUCACGUCAUGCCUUAUAGGGGUGCCCACUCCAAUGGAAGCACUCCGGAAUCAGACUUGGUUCGCAUCUGGGGGAAUAGGAGGUCCAAUCAAUUACACUAACAACUCCAUGUGGGGAACCAUUACCACAGAAAAAACAAAAAUUUUCAAUUGCUCAGACAUGACUAAUGUAUCUUACAACUACGGUCAUGUUAUAUUACCCCGGGGGCGGUUCCUCCUUUGUGGGAAGACUGCCUAUUCAUAUAUCCCAGCCAAUGCCACAGGAGGCCCUUGUGCUCUGGGCCGGUUGACUGUCUGGCUACCAGGUAUGCCUAAGACCUCUAGUAAGCGUCACCGGAGAGGUUCAAAGGUGCUAGAUAAAUCCUGUGAUAGUGACAUAAACCUCCUGAGUGAGGCCGAGGUAGUGUCCUUAGCAGUUUUCCUAGUAAGGGUGCCAGGCCUAGUAGUGGAUGCUGAGAGGCAGCUUGGUAAGGUGGCCUGUGCCCUGGCAAAGGGCCUACAUACAACUUCACAGGCCCUAGCUGCCCUCAAUAUUGAAAUAAAAGAACUAAGAGGAGCUACUCUGCAAAAUAGAGCAGCCAUAGAUUACCUGUUGCUGAGGCAUAACCACGGAUGUGAAGAGUUCGAGGAAAUGUGUUGUUUUAAUUUGACAGAUAACUCCGAGUUAAUAGAGUCAAAAGUGCAGAAGAUAAAAAAAGGUUCUGUCCCACAUUAAGCAAGGGGAAGGGUUCGACUUCUCAUAGCUUACUUCUUGGCUCCCUAAUCUUUCAUGGCUUAAGCAAAUUUUCCUAUUAAUUGUGGCAAGUAUGGGUAUUUUCUUGAUGAUCUGUUGUGGGAUACAGUGUGCGCCAAAGUGUUGUGAGAUACUCAAGAAAUCAAUUUCUUCCCCCAUUCACCGUGUGAUGUUUAUAAAAUCAUCAGUUACAAACCCGAUCCAAAACAAUCGGGAGAAAGCAAAAAGAUUUCUGGAGAUGAAAAAGAUAGUCGAGAACUAUGGGCCUUUUCCAUAAGGGCCAUAGUCUCGAAGUGGGGAUAUGAUGGGUACCCCUGAACUUUCACUAUGCAUUUUCUACUUCGGAAACAGCUUUGUAUGUUUGAAAAGUAUUUUAUCUAACCAAGGGCAUAGAGUAGGUUGUUUAGGCUGGGGGAGAUCGCUUGUUGCUUAGUUGCUUAAUUGCUGGCCUCGCUAGAAGGAAAGCUGUAUCAACAAAGUCCGGAGCUGGAAGGGGGGUUACUUGGGGGGGAGCUGGAAGGGGGGUUACUUGCUGGGCUUGCUAUACGUUUCGUCACAUCAGCAAGUUUAACCUGUUACGUAGCUAUAUAAGGCAGACGCCCACUGAGGUGUGGGUGCUUGCUUUGCAAACGAUUGCCAAGCACCACUUUCUGCGCAGAAAUAAAGAUUAAGUUGGAUCCUUCA